UCAGGUGAUUUGACCACCUCGGCCUCCCAAAGUGCUGGGAUUAUAGGCAUGAGCCACCGCACCUGGCUAAAAGUCAGUUUUUAAUAAGAACAAACCCAGUCUAUACUUGUCUAUAUCAAAUAGUCUAAAAAUUUGGAUCAUUUUGUGACAAACAUAAGCAAGUCUCAAGGUUACAAGAAAACAGUCCUUGAAACUAUUAACACAAGGCUAGCCCUUACACUUCUUAACAAAAAGAUGUAGCCAGAAGCUUAUUUUAUGAUGAUAAGGUACAGAAUAACUGUAGAUUUAACAGAUUUGUUACUAAACUGUUUCUUAUCUAUCUAAACAAUAUCUAAUGUCUAGCUCAAGGUUGUUCUUUUAAAAGUAUCUGUUUUAACAGAUUCUUAUUCUAUCAAGGUUUUUCAUCAAAUGCCUCCACUUCAGCUAAAUUUUCUAGCCAAGUCUGUCUGCAAGGAAAUGAGGCUUAAUUCCACCCAAAACACCAGAGAGAACUGAUAAUCCUAAACUUCCAGAGGGCGGAAAAAAACUUCCUCUACUGCAACAGACACUGCAGGCUGUGACGUUUGGAGCUGGCACAGUCAUCUUAUCUCCUUGAAGUGUGACAUCAUCAACAUGCUGAGGAUGGAGGAGCAGAGAGCGGAAAGGAGCCUGGGCCCUGGUGGUUAAUUAGCAGAUCCCAGUGGCAGAACCUAAGACACCGGAGGAGAAGUUCUUCCUCUUCUACAGUUCCUUGCUGCCCAAGCCAUCUUAUUUGAUAGGCAUACAAAGAAUCAGAAAGAAGAAUACCAUAAGACAUCUCAACAGCAAUAUGGACAGUUAGAAGAUAGCAAAAAGAUAUCUUCAAAGCUCAAAGAGACUACCAAUCACCAGCAGUGGAUACAAGGUUACUUCCGUAUUUCCUGAUUUAAAACACUUCCCUUCUCUUGACGGUUGUUUGGAUGCUGCCGGUCACUGGGAAGCCAUUGCUGUCAUGGAAAUCCCUGCACACGACACACGGGUUUCCUUCGGUUUGGCGAGACAUUCCCAGAUGACCGCAGAGCUUGUCUGCCAUCACAUCUCCGUGAUUUCCAGGUCUGUCAGCGUAAUGUCAUCAAUGUAACGGAUGAAUGUUUAUGUCUUCUGGAAGGGGAAGGCAAUCAAAAUCUCUGUGAACUGAUGGUGACAUAAAACUGGAGAGCUGACACACUCCUAUCAGUGCAGGUGUAUUGCUUGCCUUGCCAGCUAAAGGAAACUACUUCUGGAAGUCUUCACUAACAUAGAUGGAGAAAAAAGCACUUGCUGGACCAGUAGCUGCACACCAGGUACCAGGGUUUGUGCUAAUUUCCUCAAGCAAUGAAACGACAUCUGCUACAGUUGAAGUCACCACGUGAUUAAGUUCACAAUAAUCCAUCCACUGUCAUUCUCCAAGAGCCUUCUGUCUUCUGCACAGUCCAAAUAGGUGAGCUGAAUAGGUUUAUGGGGCAUCCUUAAGUCCUUGAUGGUGACACUAAUCUCUGCAAGCUUUCCAGAAAUGUGGUGUUGCUUUUGGUUUACUAUUUUCCUAGUCAAAGUAGUUCUAGUGGCUUCCACUUGGCCGUUCCCAUCAUAAUAGCCCUCACUCCAUUCUACUGGUCAGGGAACAAAUGUGGGGAUCCAACCAGCUGCUGAGUACAUCCAUUCCAAUCGUGCAUCCUCAAACUAGGAAAUCACAACGGGGUGAAUUCAGGGACCCACUGGGCAUGGGCACUGAAUGAUUAUCAGGAGAUUUUCUUUUAAGGGACAAAAAUUUUGUUUUUGUUUUUGUUUUUUGAGACAGGGUCUCAUUCUGUUG